AGGGGUGUGGCUCAGUGGUAGAGCACCUGCACUGCAUGCAAAAAGGUCUCCGGUUCACUGUCCCUAGUGACUACAGAUAGAAUCAUAGAAUUGUAAAGCUGGAAGGGAACCCCGAGGGUCAUCUAGACCAACCCCAGACAAUGCAGAAAUCUCAACUAAAUCAUGCAUAACAGAUGCCCUCCAACCUCUGCUUUAAAACCUCCAGCACUUCUCAUGAGAGUCGAACUGCUCUCAUCUCUAGGGAGCCUGUCAUAAAACAAUCCUGAAGUAGACAGAACAGGGGUCUGACUCAGGAUAAACCAGCUCCAUCUGUAUGACGGAGCCACCGAUCUGUGGCAGAAGAGCUGCUCUGCGCACAGAAGGUACCGGGUUCAAUUCCCGCCAUUUCCA